UUGAAAGCUGGCCUUCGGGUCCGCAUUGUAAUUUGUAGAGGAUGCUUUGGGUGAAACGCCAGUCUAAGUUCCUUGGAACAGGACGUCAUAGAGGGUGAGAAUCCCGUAUGUGACUGGAAAUGUUAACCUAUGUAAAGCUCCUUCGACGAGUCGAGUUGUUUGGGAAUGCAGCUCUAAAUGGGAGGUAAAUUUCUUCUAAAGCUAAAUAUUGGCGAGAGACCGAUAGCGCACAAGUAGAGUGAUCGAAAGAUGAAAAGCACUUUGGAAAGAGAGUUAAAAAGCACGUGAAAUUGUUGAAAGGGAAGCGCUUGCAAUCAGACUUGUUUAAACUGUUCGGCCGGUCUUCUGACCGGUUUACUCAGUUUGGACAGGCCAGCAUCAGUUUCGGCGGCCGGAUAAAGGCUCUGGGAAUGUGGCCUUCACUUCGGUGAAGGUGUUAUAGCCCAGGGUGUAAUACGGCCAGCCGGGACUGAGGUCCGCGCUUCGGCUAGGAUGCUGGCGUAAUGGUUGUAAGCGACC
rnacentral:rRNA from 2 species